GGCUCAGAUCUGAACUUGCCUUGAUCUGUCAAGACUCCUCAUUUUACUCCAAAAAUGAAGUCCUUGUCUCAGCUCCUGUGGCUGUUAAUGCUCUGGAUCCCUGGUUCCAGUGGAGAUGUUGUGAUGACCCAGACCCCGAGUUCCCUACCUGUCACCCUGGGACAGCUGGCUUCCAUCUCCUGCAGGUCUAGUCAGAGCCUUCUGUAUAGCGAUGGAAACACCUAUUUGGACUGGUAUCUGCAGAAGCCAGGCCAGUCUCCACAACCUCUGAUCUAUUUGGUUUCCAAACGAGCAUCUGGGGUCCCAGACAGAUUCAGUGGCAGUGGGUCAGGCACAGAUUUCACACUGACAAUCAGCAGGGUGGAAGCUGGGGAUGUUGGAGUUUAUUACUGCAUGCAAGCUACACAUGAUCCUCCCACAGUGAUACAGCCUUGAACAAAAACCUCCCAUCUGGCUGGGUGAGCUGCCCUCAUGGCUGGCUGGUCUGGGGAGCAGCCCAGCAGAUUUUGUGAGUCUGCCUAGGAGGAAGAUGUUGAGAUCAAUGUGAGAGUGACUCUGAGUGGAAAUGAAGAAUCUGUGACAAUAUGACAAAAUACAAUCUAUAAUGACCAGGAGAACAAUUAUCUGAAUAUAAAGACCAGGAGACUUCAGAUAAACCGUAAGGAAUUUUUGAAAAAUUUCUCUCUUUAGUAGUAUUAGAACCAACCAAUGAUCUAUGAAUCAAAUGAAUCUUUGUAAUGAAAUUCUUAAUACUUCCUUCAAGCACAUCGAAGCCUACAACUUUAGCAUAUCCUGUGCUUUCUGUUCAGAAGAAGCCCAGUUCUACCUUAUCUAGCUUCUUCUCUGUGUCCAUCAAACCCUGCCUAACCAUCAAGCCAUUAGCAGAGUUUUAUCAUUGACUCUUGGUUGGAUCAACCUGAGAAAGAUACAAAAUUGCACAUAGCCAGUUGUCUCUGCAUUCUCUGUCCUGGGGAUCAGGAUCUAAUUAAGAGAGUGGAUUGGGGUCAAGCCUGGGAAUAUGCUUCAUAUGUCCCAGAAGUCUGAGACUGAGCCCUUGUUCAAUGGGCACAGCAUUCACAGUCCAACCUGUUCAACCUCAGUGACUUCAUAUAAAAACCAUGUCAAGAGGGAAUCUUUCAUAUUUAAGUGUUUCUGGUAUCCAUUUCCAUCACUUUCAACAUUUAUCAUUUCCUUGUAAUGGGCCUUUCAGAGGCCUAGAACUAUGACAUUGCACAGGCUGGGACUUGGGGGAUACUCUGACCUCUACCAGUGCCCAGUGUGCAUCUACCUCAGCUUGUGUAAACUGUUUCUGCAUGAUGCUCUCAAUGCCAUUUGGGAAGAAAGUAACAUGACAUUGGAAAUGCUCUGAGCUCAUAGGAAAAAAUAUAGGUCUGGAAUGUAUAUUAACAAAUGGAAUGGCCUUAAGUCACUCUUGGGAAUAUCUUAACAGGAAUAGUUAAUGCCAAGUUUAUCCACAACUGUAAUAUUCUGUAGAAGACUAGUCAGAACAAAAUCUCAGCUCACACCUCUGUCCAGGCAUUUUACCAGCGUACACAAAGUCACCUCUCUGAUUUUCAAUUCUCACUAGGCUCCUCAUUGUAUAAGUCUGUGUGAGUCAUCAGAAAAGAAAAAUAAAUUAUCACUGUGCCUCUACUAG